GACGAACGCUGGCGGCGUGCUUAACACAUGCAAGUCGAACGGAAAGGCCCUGCUUUUGUGGGGUGCUCGAGUGGCGAACGGGUGAGUAACACGUGAGUAACCUGCCCUUGACUUUGGGAUAACUUCAGGAAACUGGGGCUAAUACCGGAUAGGAGCUCCUGCUGCGUGGUGGGGGUUGGAAAGUUUCGGCGGUUGGGGAUGGACUCGCGGCUUAUCAGCUUGUUGGUGGGGUAGUGGCUUACCAAGGCUUUGACGGGUAGCCGGCCUGAGAGGGUGACCGGCCACACUGGGACUGAGAUACGGCCCAGACUCCUACGGGAGGCAGCAGUGGGGAAUAUUGCACAAUGGGCGGAAGCCUGAUGCAGCAACGCCGCGUGCGGGAUGACGGCCUUCGGGUUGUAAACCGCUUUCGCCUGUGACGAAGCGUGAGUGACGGUAAUGGGUAAAGAAGCCCCGGCUAACUACGUG
rnacentral:rRNA from 1 species